UAGGGAAUCUUCCACAAUGGACGCAAGUCUGAUGGAGCAACGCCGCGUGUGUGAUGAAGGGUUUCGGCUCGUAAACACUGUUGUAAGAGAAGAAUGACAUUGAGAGUAACUGUUCAAUGUGUGACGGUAUCUUACCAGAAAGGAACGGCUAAAUACGUGCCAG
rnacentral:rRNA from 1 species